rnacentral:rRNA from 1 species
UAUGUGAUCGUCUCUCGCAUAUCAAUAAGCGGAGGAAAAGAAACUAACAAGGAUUCCCCUAGUAACGGCGAGUGAAGCGGGAAGAGCUCAAAUUUGAAAUCUUAAAGGGUUUCCCUUUACGAAUUGUAGUUUAAAGAAGUGUUUUCUGUUGAGGUUUUGGUAAAAGUUCUUUGGAAUAGGACAUCAUAGAGGGUGAGAAUCCCGUAUUUGACCUUUACUUUCAACUUUGUGAUACACUUUCAAAGAGUCGGAUUGUUUGGGAAUGCAGUCCGAAAAUGGGUGGUAAAUUUCAUCUAAAGCUAAAUAUUGGCGAGAGACCGAUAGCGAACAAGUACCGUGAGGGAAAGAUGAAAAGAACUUUGAAAAGAGAGUUAAACAGUACGUGAAAUUGUCAAAAGGGAAGCGUUUGACACCAGUGUUGUUUUUCUGAAAAUCAAUUAAAGAACUGUUUAUGCUAAGCUUGUUUAGACUUUAUCAGCUAACUGUUUAGUUUUGAGCUUUUCUUUAAUGCACUUUUCAGUUAACAAGUCAACAUCAAUUUCUUUUGCUGCUAAAAAAGCUUGAGGAAGGUGGCUUGAAAUUCGUCUUAAGUGUUUAUAGCCUCUUGCCUAUGCAGUCGGAGAGAUUGAGGUCUGCAGCGUAGAUCCUUCGGGGCUAAAUGCAUUUGUGCUAAGUUAUAGCAUUUUAUAGACAACUUGUUGACUAUGAUUUGUCUUGUAGCUUACUCGCUUAUGUUAUUUUACCUACGCUUAGGAUGUUGAUCUACAGAGCGAGAGU